UGCACGCCUUCUUUUCGGAAUCGGUAUCGCUGUCGUGAAGCAGAGUCAUAUCCGUAUCAUACCAAGGUUCGAUUAUUCGGCAGCGGUCGCCAGCGGCGGCGCGUGCCGGAUCUGGCCCGGUUGCGCGGGCGCCGGGACCACGCCCCCACCCCNGACUCUUCCUGAACCAUAGCGCAUAGAGGCCGGGCAGGAACAGCAGGGUCAGGAAUGUUGCAACGAACAAUCCACCCAUGAUGGUGAUGGCCAUCGGCCCCCAGAAGGCCGACCGGGACAGCGGGAUCA
rnacentral:misc_RNA from 1 species